CCAGUAGAAGCAGAACGGCGAACGGUGUCGGUUGUACCGCUCGAGAUGCAACCUGGCGCGGCUGUCUUGGCACCGAACAAGCUCCGUCAAACCACUUCCGAGUCUUUCGCCGCUCCCCGCCGCAUUUUUACAUGCCUGUGGACCGGGGGUGCCUGGAGCCCGCUUCGGGGGGGGGGGGAAGUCGCCGUGAGCUCGUAGCUUAGCUCGGACGCCGUGUGGACUUCCAGCCUGGUACCGACCGACGGAUGUAAGGAACAAAGAACGGACGGACAAACGGACAUUGCAAGCCCUAUUUUUCUUUUUAAACAAUGGGCCUUAUAUUCGCAAAACUGUGGAGCUUCUUCUGUAACCAAGAGCACAAGGUGAUCAUCGUCGGCCUGGACAAUGCCGGCAAGACCACCAUCCUUUACCAGUUUCUGAUGAACGAGGUGGUCCACACGUCGCCCACCAUCGGCAGCAACGUGGAGGAGAUCGUGGUGAAGAACACGCACUUCCUCAUGUGGGACAUCGGCGGGCAGGAGUCGCUCAGGUCCUCCUGGAACACGUACUACUCCAACACUGAGUUUGUCAUCCUGGUGGUUGACAGCACAGACCGAGAGCGUCUGGUCAUCUCCAAAGAGGAACUCUACAGGAUGUUAGCUCAUGAGGACCUGCGCAAAGCGGCCGUGCUGAUCUUCGCCAACAAGCAGGACAUGAAGGACUGCAUGUCGGCGGCCGAGAUCUCCAAGUACAUGACGCUGAGCUCCAUCAAAGACCACCCGUGGCACAUCCAGUCCUGCUGCGCCCUCACCGGGGAAGGCCUAUGUCAAGGUCUGGAGUGGAUGACGUCACGGGCCGGACUCAGAUAACCCCCCCCCCCCCCCCCCCCCCCCCCCACUUCUUUCAUGGACUUCCUAUGAAGAACCCCACUCCCACAAGACAACUCAUCUCCUUCCACUUUUCCUUUUUUUUGUUUGGAUUUUUGCGGCGCAUGUGGGCUCACACUGACUUCACUUUGAGGAGAACACGACGACACACACCACGUCGACGGCUGCCUCUCCAUCCCGCGGAAAUAGUAGGGGUCGACCGUAUCGUCGUCCUGUACUGACCCAGUUGAGACUCGGCUCCCGGCUGAACUCGUGCGCCCGCGCCGCGCUGAAGUCGUAGUCCGGCCUGAAGGACUCGUUGAGCGUGGUGAUGAGGUAGAAGAUGGUCUUCCUGCAGCACUUGUCGCUCAGAGGGCUCUCCGCGUCCUCCCCGCUCUUGGCCAGCCUGAACGAAGGGAGACAUUUUGUGAUGUGAGCGUGAUUUCUCGGGGCGGCGGGGCGAUGCCAACUGACAGCUCGGGACUGGCGGCGCUGGCGGACUGCGGCGGGGACAGUGCCUCCAGGAUGUGCGGCUCGCCCUCCUGGCAGAACUGCUUGAACAUGUGCUUGUCGUCGCCCGCCAUCUUGCACGAGUAGCUCUCGAUCCUGUCGGCGGACAUCAGAAAGCACACGUCACUAAACGGACGCGUGACGACGUGUGGACGCAAAACCGGAGGAAAUGCCCGUCAAACGUCUCCUCUUGUUUUUAUUAAGAAUAAAACACACUUAACAACUCAGCGGCCACUUUUUUUAGGCACACCCGCGUAACCUGAUCAGACUUAA